AAUCAGAUCCGGGAACUAAAACAUUUCCUGUUUAUUUGUGAUUAUGUUUUAUACAGUUUUCACUCGCAGAAUGCAGUGAUGCAGUGUAGACAAAGUAGGGACGAAUUUUGAUGAAUUCAACAAACAGCACCAUCUCUGAUGACGGGGAUAUAUUUAAGAGGCACCCGGAUAUCCUGGUGUUUUUCGUGGUUAGUUGUUCUAUCAUGGGCGUAAUUCUGAUAGGUGUAUGUAUAUUUCGGUGUGUAUCAGACGGUGAUGACGGUAAAUCCCGCAGCAAACGGCGUGUUCUUCCACGAAAGAUUACAAACACUGUAGUCUGGGGAGUUGAUAAUUACCAAUCCAAGAAUUUGAACUUCGACACAGCCACAGCAUCAAGGAAAGUUAAAAAGCUCCCAGAAAUACGAAGAGUCCAGAUUCAGUGAAGAAAAUGUACGUGUUCGAUGGAGAUCGAUAUAGCUAAAGAUGUUAUGGUACCAGAGACGGAAUAUGUCAUCGUUACAUCUACUGCAUUGAUUUUAAUGUAAAACAGACAUUUUUGUGACGGAAUCUGUUGUGAGCUCUAUUUUUAAUGUUUCGCAACGUCGAUAGUUGAUAAGACUUACUGCCGUCUGAAUAUUUUGUUUAUCAUAUUCCAUAUUCUAGUUUCACCUAUAGUUUAACAUCGGGGUCAGUUUAGAUAAUGAACUGGUCUACAAUUUUUACCCAAGAAUAGAGCAAGGGCAUUUUAGUCAAAUUGGUAUUAGCCAAUUUUCCAUCUGUCAAUCGUUUCAUACUUUUUUUAAUUUGUUUAUUGGUGAAUGACAGAUUGUAUACCCAAAUAAAGACAUUGAGAAAUGAU